rnacentral:tRNA from 1 species
UAGCGUAGCCUGGUAGCGCGCCUGGUUUGGGACCAGGAUGUCGGGAGUUCGAAUCUCUC